AAUGAACGCUGGCGGCGCGCCUAAUACAUGCAAGUCGAGCGAGAAGACGUAGCAAUACGUUUGUAAAGCGGCGAACGGGUGAGGGAAUACAUGGGUAACCUACCCUCGAGUGGGGAAUAACUAGCCGAAAGGUUAGCUAAUACCGCGUACGCUUCCUUGGACUUCGGUUCAGGAGGAAAGCGAUGCCGAGGGUAUCGCGCUCUUGGAUGGGCUCAUGUCCUAUCAGCUUGUUGGNGAGGUAACGGCUCACCAAGGCUUCGACGGGUAGCUGGUCUGAGAGGACGAUCAGCCACACUGGCACUGCGACACGGGCCAGACUCCUACGGGAGGCAGCAGUAAGGAAUAUUGCGCAAUGGGCGAAAGCCUGACGCAGCGACGCCG
rnacentral:rRNA from 1 species